GAUGAAGAACGUAGCGAAAUGCGAUAAGUAAUGUGAAUUGCAGAAUUCAGUGAAUCAUCGAAUCUUUGAACGCACCUUGCGCCCUUUGGCUAUUCCGAAGGGCAUGCCUGUUUGAGUAUCAUGAACACCUCAACUCUCAUGGCUUGCCAUGACGAGCUUGGACUUUGGGGGUCUUGCUGGCCUGUGGUCAGCUCCUCUCAAAUGGAUUAGCUUGCCAGUGUUUGGUGGCAUCACAGGUGUGAUAACUAUCUACGCUUGUGGUUUUCCACCAGGUAACCUUCAGCAAUGGGGGUUCGCUGGGGCUCAUAAAUGUCUCUCCUCAGCGAGGACAGCUCUUUGAACGUUUGAUCUCAAAUCAGGUAGGACUACCCGCUGAACUUAAGCAUAUCAAUAAGCGGAGGA
rnacentral:misc_RNA from 1 species